UUUACCACCUCCACAACCCCAAAUCACAAACUCCCUUCACGACUCCUACUCCAUUUUUUGCCCUCGUCCUAACCACGGUUUCAGUUUUUUCUAAUUCCUAUUUCAAAAUUUUCGACUUUUUUUGCAGGUCCAAAAUGCCCUAAGAAGGAUUUUUACAGGAAAGCAGUAGCUGGCCGGGACAUCGAGGUCACGAAAAAGACCCAGCCGAAACUCGAAUCUGCAUAACAUUG
rnacentral:lncRNA from 1 species